rnacentral:rRNA from 1 species
UGAGCAAUCUGCCCUUCUCUUUGGAAUAAGCGUUGGAAACGACGUCUAAUGCCGAAUACGACCUCCUUUCGCAUGAUCGGAGGUGGAAAGCUCCGGCGGAGAAGGAUGAGCUCGCGGCCUAUCAGCUAGUUGGUGUGGGUAAUGGCCCACCAAGGCGACGACGGGUAGCCGGCCUGAGAGGGUGACCGGCCACACUGGGACUGAGACACGGCCCAGACCUCCGUACGGGAGGNAG